rnacentral:rRNA from 1 species
GACGAACGCUGGCGGCGUGCUUAACACAUGCAAGUCGAACGGGAAGGCCCUGCUUUUGUGGGGUGCUCGAGUGGCGAACGGGUGAGUAACACGUGAGUAACCUGCCCUUGACUUUGGGAUAACUUCAGGAAACUGGGGCUAAUACCGGAUAGGAGCUCCUGCUGCAUGGUGGGGGUUGGAAAGUUUCGGCGGUUGGGGAUGGGCUCGCGGCUUAUCAGCUUGUUGGUGGGGUAGUGGCUUACCAAGGCUUUGACGGGUAGCCGGCCUGAGAGGGUGACCGGCCACAUUGGGACUGAGAUACGGCCCAGACUCCUACGGGAGGCAGCAGUGGGGAAUAUUGCACAAUGGGCGGAAGCCUGAUGCAGCAACGCCGCGUGCGGGAUGACGGCCUUCGGGUUGUAAACCGCUUUCGCCUGUGACGAAGCGUGAGUGACGGUAAUGGGUAAAGAAGCACCGGCUAACUACGUG